CUCCUACGGGAGGCAGCAACAGGGAAUCGUACGCAAUGGACGAAAGUCUGACGUCGCAAUGCCGCGUGGAGGAUGAAGGCCUUCGGGUCGUAAACUCCUUUUACAGUAAUUGAGAGGUUAUUGAGAAUAAGCACCUGCUAACUCUGUGCCAGCAGCCGCGGUAAUACAGAGGGUGCAAGCGUUAUCCGGAUUUAUUGGGCGUAAAGCGUUUCGUAGGUUUUCAGGUAAGUUACUCUUCAAAGACCACGGCUCAACCGGGGGAAGGGGAGUAAUACUAUCUGAAUUGAAAUAUGGUGGGGCUUCUGGAACUGAUGGUGUAGUAGUGAAAUACGUUGAUAUCAUCAGGAACUCCGAGGGCGAAGGCAGGAAGCUAACCAUUUUUUGACACUGAGGAACGACAGCUAGGGGAGCGAAAGGGAUUAGAGACCCCUGUAGUCCUAGCCGUAAACUUUGCUCGCUAGGGGUUAUGAUUUAUCAUUAGCCCCGUAAGCUAACGCGUUAAGCGAGCCGCCUGGGGAGUACGGUCGCAAGACUAAAACUCAAAGGAAUUGACGGGGACCCGCACAACCAGUGGAGCAUGUGGUUUAAUUCGAGACGAAACGAAAGACCUCACCCAGCCUUGACAUGAUACCGUU
rnacentral:rRNA from 1 species